rnacentral:rRNA from 1 species
AACGAACGCUGGCGGCAGGCUUAACACAUGCAAGUCGAGCGCCCCGCAAGGGGAGCGGCAGACGGGUGAGUAACGCGUGGGAAUCUACCGAGCCCUAAGGAAUAGCUCCGGGAAACUGGAAUUAAUACCUUAUACGCCCUUUUGGGGAAAGAUUUAUCGGGGUUUGAUGAGCCCGCGUUGGAUUAGGUAGUUGGUGGGGUAAAGGCCGACCAAGGCGACGAUCCAUAGCUGGUCUGAGAGGAUGAUCAGCCACAUUGGGACUGAGACACGGCCCAAACUCCUACGUGAGGCAGCAGUGGGGAAUAUUGGACAAUGGGCGCAAGCCUGAUCCAGCCAUGCCGCGUGAGUGAUGAAGGCCCUAGGGUUGUAAAGCUCUUUCACCGGUGAAGAUAAUGACGGUAACCGGAGAAGAAGCCCCGGCUAACUUCGUGCCAGCAGCCGCCGUAA